GGCUGCCUCGCUGGAGGAAGCUGCACGCUACUCCACUGCUUCCAGACAAGCCACGCUGGAAGCACAGGAGCCUCCUGACUGUCUGCUGGUGCCGUGACAAAGGGACCCUGCUCAGGGCGAACGGGAUGUCAUGGGCAGCGUCUUUUGUCCCCACAGCUGGGUGUGUUUUGUGUGUGCCUAAGGUUUGCUACAUGGAUGUUCCCAUGCCUCUGGAUGCGUGCAGUGCUUGCCAGUCAGCGUCGGCUUGAACCUGCCUGAGAACGGUGGAGUCUCCCAUCGCCCGUGGAGUCACCGAAUCUGCAGCCAGUUACCACCCAAGGAGGCAGAGGAGUCUGAACAUUGCCCUCCAGUCUUCUCUCCAGCCUCUCUGAGCUGUGCCCCUCGGAAACCAGGAGGACCGGCUACCCCUGGCCUCACCUCUCCCCAGAAGUGAGCUGAGAUGGGUGGCUGAAUCUGCCCCAUUUCCUCCGUCAGUUCUGAACUGACGUCUGGUGUCUGUCCAACGGUGAUCAGGAGAACAUCAGACGCGUCACAGACCUGGCAAGAUCCACGGCCUCACCUGAAACGCGUGAGCAGCGGCACCACUUCCGGCUGGCACACCCAGACUCCUCUUCCUCAGCGCACACACCUCCUCGAGGAGGCUCCCCACAGACACCAGGCUCCUGGCUGGCCACUGUGGUGGCCUCUCCUGAGAACCCCACCCUCUGGAGUCUGAAAACACACUGCACACUCAGCGUGGGCUUCUCCUGACAUGCGGGAUGCACCCAUGUGCCUCCGUCUGGGGUGGCCAGCUCCCCUGGGAGGAGCUGUGGACUGUCCCCUGUGUCACCUGGGCAUGUGAACCCAUCCCAGUCUUACCUGGAUCCUAGGGCUGUCAGCAAACAGGCUGCAGCAAGGUGGGAGGUGGGUCUAGGGUUACAGAAAGGUCACCAUAUUGAGAGUCUCCGGUUUUCCACUCAUGAACGCGCAGCUCAGAAGGUUGCAGAAGCCCGCUGGGCUGGACCCUGUAACUUCCCUGACGAGGCCCUGUGUGGUGGGCACCAGGUCCCCUUCUUCCUCCUCUUGCCCCUGCUGACAGGGUGCAGCUGGGCAAUGACCACUGCAUGCUGAGCUCCACCCGAGCAGCUCCAGCUCUCGGUGAGACACUCGCUCUGGGCGGCAGCUGCCCCUUCCCUGGCAGGGUGUUAGAGCCCCUGGCUCAUGGACAGGCUUCCGCUCACUCUGGCCGCAGGGCAGGGUGGGCCCCAGCGCCCUUGGUGCAGCCCACGAUCGAUCGUCUCACCGCGGCACCCAUCUUCGCUUCUCCACGAAGGGCCUGCUCACAGGAGGCGGAGCUGGGACACCAAGGGCCCUGCCCCACCGCCCCAGCUGAAGGCUGUCCCCUCUCAGUGACGCUGAGCUCUGGUGAGAGCUGGCCGCACAGGCCCCUGAAGGCUAGGCAGCAGGGCCUCUGGCAGGCCCAUAGGCAAAGGAGAAGGUUAAGGUGGCAAGCAGGAGACUCCAGCCGACUCCAUCCCACCCGACCGUGCCCUCCUCGGCUGCCAGGCUGCCUGGUUAGCUUCCCAUCGGUGCUGUGAGCUCAUGCUCAGGUCUUGUUCAGCCGGGUGGUGAGACCCUGCAGGGAGGGCUUGUGCCUAUUCAUGCCUGUGCUCAAGCUGGGAUGGUCAAAUGGCAUCAUGGCAUCCAGAAGGAGUCUCCUGGCCUCUCAUUCUCCCCACGGCUGGCGCAGGGAGCCUCUGUGCAUGCAGCCCGCUGGGACGAAACAGCUGCAAGACAGCCUCCCACACCCAGAGUACUGACUGGCUGGAGACGCCACAGCUGCUGAGUUUGGCUUCCACUACUCCACCAAGCGCCCCUGCCCCGGCCUCGGCUGCUGUCCUCCCCUCCAUGGGAAAAGCCCCAGCAGCGGUACCACUCUUCCUCCCUCGCCUCCCGGGGUCUCUGCAGGCUGUCACUCCAUCGGCAAGCCCUGCUGCCCAGUUCCUUGGAAGUCCUGACUUCUGCUGCCCCUGCACACGCUGGUUUCUCUCCAGAGCUCUGGCCUUUGCCCGAUUUCAGGAUGGCUUUGCUCACCCUCACCUUUCUGGAAGGUGAGCAGACAUGCUCCUCUGCGUGACAGACGGCCAACGCUCCAGUGCCUGGACAAUAUGUGGCACAAAACAAGCAGAAAGGAAAUCCUAUUGAACAAGUGAGUGGAGGGGCAGUGGGUGAAAAGCUCAAGCAGGCAGCUCUCUCCUUGGCAAGGACACAACUGUGGCCACAGGGCUUCUGGGGAGGGGGGCAGAUGCUUCCUCCAGGACUUGUGAUCCCAGGUGACAUCAAGGUAGAAGCAACUGGGGGUGUGGACCAGCGGGUGAUGCCGGGGAGGAGGGUCCGCUGUCUCCCGGAUAAGGCUCCUCUUCCUCCCCCACAUCUGGAGGCUUCAUCUGCAUGCCUUAAAAUUUUGAUUUUCUCAUCUGAAAAUUCAGAGGGCAUCCAUUCCUAGUUGCUGGGUUUGUGCAGAUGCUCAAUAGAAGGUUGCAGAUCAGCUGAUCAAAGUGAGAAACCCUUGGUCUCAUCCUGGCACACAGUAGGCACCUCAGGUGUGAUGAGAAGUGGGAAGUCCUCAUUCAGCAGUUGCCAAAACGGGCAGCAGGAAGUGCUGGGGCUGCCCGACCCCCUCUCUGGUCCCUGUGGCUUCCAGAUUGUGCCUGGCUCUACUUCUGCUGGGGACACAAGCCUCCUUCCCCAGGGGACAGAGUCAGCACCAGAGGUGACGCAGUGGGGAUGCAGGGUAACGAAGUGGACAGAGGCGGCACGUCCAUCUGGCGCCAUCCCACGCUCCACUCUCCCCGCCACGACCUUCCCCCAGUCCCCUUAGCUCUUCGGAGUUGUAUCUGUGAAGCGCCCACGGCUGCCGGGACCUUCCGAGGCUCUGCGAGGGCGGCAGAGAGCCCAGCGCUAAGUAUCUAGAAAGGCGGGGCCAGAGGUUUGUUCAGGUUCCCGGCCGCAGCUCUCUGCUCCGUACUCUAGGGUGUAGGAAGCAGCACUGGUCCAGGGGGAGAGUCACCGCCUCACUGGUGGAAAGGGAAGCCACGAGCACUAACAGGCCACGAAGCCCCAGAGGAGGCCAAGCCCCGCUGGAGGCACAGCACAGAGUCCUGGAGAAGGCGGGCCUGGGGACACGUGGAAAGGAACAGGAAAGGCAAGUGAGGAAGGACUACUCUGCAGGUGUGGUGAGUCCAGCUCUGCUGCAGGUGGCCUCCGCACAUUCCACGCUCCGUGGGCGUCUUCCAUUCUCCUUGGUACACUGUGGGCCCAUUUUGUUCGACUCUUUCUGUGGUCCCUGGGUGACCAUAUUUUUAGCAGCCUUGAGCUUCAGCCUAAGAAUGUUGUCCUUUCCCCUUGAGGUUCCUGACUGCUUCAGCUGUCACCAGGGGUGCUGUCUUUGGAGACUGUCAAGGUGUAUGUCAGCCUCACAGAAAUGCCCCGUGUGGCCUGGAGAGCUGGGCUUGCAGCUCUGUCGCUUGCAUGCUGCUGCUGAAUUUCGGACAGCCAGCACUGUCAUGAAGGGUCAGUGAACCCAGGUUGUCACAGCCAGCAGAACCUCAGCUGCUGCUCCUGGGCAGCCCUCUGUCCUUUAGCAAGGCAGAGAGCUCACGGGCUCUCGUCCCCUCCUCACCCUCCUCAUCAGGAUGUGGCAGCAAUUCACCACGUGUCCUUUCCAGCUCCUUUCCAGCUGCCCAGGAGGAAAGGGCCACCGCAGAGCUCAGGAAUCCAUUCCAAGUGCACGGUGUAUACUGCACUAUUUGGCAGCCUACACGAGAACUUAACUAUGUCCUUUAUCUCCCG